UCAAAGGUCUCAAGGUUGGCAAGUAUGCUUAAAGUGAGAGAGUGAAAGUUGAGCAUGGCAGGGGCCCGCAGUCAGCGGAUGUCUGCCAACACAUCUGCUUGAUAGAAGAAGAAUACACAGCAUUUAGCAGCAGGAGGAAACUAGUGUGCUGCACACAAUGUCACCUUAUCAGUUGAAGAUGAGUGUCUGGGUGCUUGUCAUCUUCCUGGUCUCUGAGAUGCCUCCAACUGCCCCAACACAGAGUAACUGUUGCUGCAAAUCUAACUGUGGAGGGGGCGUGGCCUGCAGCGAAGCGGGGUGUUGCCAGGACCGGCCUCGAAAUCGGCGACAGGUGCGUAGACGGCCCACCUGGGCCUUGUUGUCUAAUCACCUGUCGCUCUGUUUAUACUGUAAGCAGCAGCCAGGAGGAGAGACGGGGUUGGGGCUGGAGCCAGAGCGCGAGUGAGGACGAAAGAGAAACAGACAAUUGCUGGAAAGCAACUGAGAGAGUUAUUGAAACAUUUUACAAUAUUGUAGCCCUGAAGCAGGCUCUCAUGUCGAUGCUUGGUGGUCUGGAGAACCCCCAGGAGGGCAAGCCCCACACUAACCAAUAAUAAAUACUUAUUGUGUUAAGCAAUGUCAGCUCAGAUUUAUCUGAGAGCCAGAUGCAGUCAUCAAAAGAGCCACAUCUGGCUCGCGAGCCAUAGGUUCCCUACCCCUGAGCUAAAGUGUGAGCUUUUUACAUAGACCUUGAAUUUGGAAUGUAAGAAUGAAGCCACAACAAUCUGUUAUCUCAACUGUCAGAGGUAGGGAGGAGAAGAACAUUUUUUCAUUGGGUAAAAAGUUGUAACUAAAUUUAAUUUGAAAAUAACGAUGUUGCACAUUGAUACUGGUUUAGUAGAUUAAUCUGGAAUAUGGAGGAGGUGAGGUAACAUCUGUGUAAAGUUUGUAAUUUCAUUGAUAUGAUCAAUCAGGUGCAAGGGAAAAGGUACUUGCUGACUUGCGUUGACAAUUGCAGUGGUUGGCCGGAAGCAACCACAACCUAAAAAGAGGAUGCAAAAUCAUUAAUAAAAAGGCUUGUUAAUGACCUAAGAGCCCGACAUUGUUACCCCAAAAAAGAUUAAGUCAGGUAACGGCACCCAUUUGAAAAAUGCUCACUUAGCCUUGGUCGAAAAGGAUCUUGGACUAAAACAGAGGUUUGGUUCGGUGUACCAUUCUCUUUUUAGGUAAGGUCGAGAGAAUGAACAAGAAUUAAAACAAAUUGGCUAAAAUCUGUGCACGGACCAAAUUGAAGUGGGUUGACGCGUUACCUUUGGCUUUAAUGACCACUUGAAUGUCCAUGAACAAAACUGGUUUUUCACCCUAUAAACUGCACACAGAUCAGCCCUUCCCAGGUCCAGCCGCCCCCUGGAAGGAGGAAUCAGCAUAAAACCAAACUGGUAAGUUGAGCAAAUUCAGAAUUCUGUGCCAGUUUCUCUGUGCAGAUUCCAGGAUGACAGCCCGCCACUCCAAAAUCCCUUCCACCUGUCGAGAGGGUCAAGGUCAAGGUCAUUAAGCGCAAUUGGACGGAGCCCAGGUGGACCGGUCCCUUCAAGGUCGUGGAACGGACGUCCCACGCCCUUCGACUGGCUGGUAAAGGGGACACCUGGUACCAGCUCUCCCUCUGCACUCCUGCUGAAGGACCUGACAGAUCUCCAGCAGAUGUCACUGCCACAUCGCCACAUCACCUACCGUCGUGUUCUAGAUCUACCAGACCUGCUCAACUGCUCUUUCAUAUAUCCAAAGCUAUCAUUACUUGAGAUCAACCUAUAUACUCGAUGUUAUAUAACUUUUCUUACUUGUUUUCAGCAUAACUAUUGGUGUCACUACAAUAAGUGAAAAGUUUGAUGUUUAUCCCCGUUUAGUUACCUAAAUUGCUCUGAUUUUGAUGGACAAAAGGCAGGAUGUUACACCCAGCAGUAUUCCCUGACAGAUUGGAAUUUAGGCUUGUUCUAAUGUCCUUGUGCCUCAUUCAUUCCUUCCUGACGACAGUGACUGACACGUGUCUUAGAACAUAGGGUGGACUUGAAAUAGACUGGAUCAAGGGGGACAGCAAGACUUACUUUUAUGACCUGUGCAGUGUGAUUGAUUGCGAGCGACAUAGUAGCUAUUACCGUGGUAGUAACCUCUAUUUUUGAUACGACGCAACCCUGAGCUAUUGGUGUCGGAAGCAGAAUACAUAGUCUAGUGGGUGGUGCCCCUGGUGGAAGCAGGUAACCCACUACACAGGGCAUUGGAAUCCAACUGGCCCCUAAUAUUACAUCAAAACUACUCGGGAAGGGAUGACCUUCCAGAAGAACUUUGAUCGUUCCCAGAACCGCCUCGCCCUUACAAAUGCCAACGUGGGUGUCAUGCCCAAUUGGCCCAGUCCGUUUUAUGUUGUGUUAGGGGUUGACCAGACUGGUACAGAAUCUAAAGGGAUUAUCAAAAUUAAUGUCCUGGAGAGGGCGCCAAAGUAUGGGUGAUUGUGUUGCUUGUUCCGCUGGAAGUCCUUUUCCCCACACUUACCCCACCCCUUUUAAGUUGACUGACACAAAUGGCUCCUUGCUUUCUGAACCCACGCCGCCAUAUAUGCUUAAGGGUGACCCCAGGGGUGCCUAAAAUUGGGCCCGAAGGCCAAUUUAAGCCCGCUAAGUUUUUUGUGUGGCCCACCAAAUGGUGGUUUCCCAGAUUGAAUACAUACUGGCAAAAAAAUAUGAGCAAAACGAGCAAAAGAAAACGGUGCUAUGCUAAUAUGCUCACAAUAGUAUGCUUACAGUUCGCAUUAGUGAAAUACCAAAAUAUAAACAUUGAAAUACCAUUUCAAUUAGCUAAAAGAGAUAGCAUGUUAAUGUUAGCAAGUAAAAAUGGUACGAUAAUAUAUUAGUCUGAUGACGGCGUGGUGCAGUGGGAGAGUGGCCGUGCGCAACCCGAGGGUCCCUGGUUCAAAUCCCACCUAGUACCAACGUCGUCACGUCCGUUGUGUCCUGAGCAAGACACUUCACCCUUGCUCCUGAUGGGUGCUGGUUGGCGCCUUGCAUGGCAGCUCCCUCCAUCAGUGUGUGAAUGUGUGUGUGAAUGGGUAAAUGUGGAAGUAGUGUCAAAGCGCUUUGAGUAUCUUGAAGGUAGAAAAGCGCUAUACAAGUACAACCCAUUUAACCCAUUUAUGAGUACCUGAAAAAUGUGUUUAAAAUGCUACAGUAGCAUGGCAACGUUAGCAUGCAUCAAGUACCAAAAUAUGAAUGGUGUGUGUAAACCUACAAAAUUAGCUACAUAAAAAAAGUCUUAAUUAUAGUUGCUAAAUUGCCAGGUGCUUAGCGACCCAUACAAAUGUGCAAUUCUCACUUUACUAAAAUGCAUGAACACAACACAAAUACACUCAACAACCGAAAUAACAAUCAUACGUGGUUUGUUUAUCAAUCCUAUUUCUUCCAAGAUAUAAAUAAAAUUUAAAUAAAAUAACAUUUACUAUACUCACAGGUGGUGUAUCAACCAUCUUGGAUCUUGUUACAAAUCCUGUGUCCACUCCUGCGUUGUCAUCACCACUGUGGGCAUUCCCAAAAUGGGCCUAACAUAAAGUGUCUCCAGGGUGCAGCUAUUCUUUCUAUUCAGUUUACUUAUGGUGAACAAAACUGUGGUCAAACAUCUGAUUACGCAAGGGGCCUAGAUCUACCACUAAAUGCAGAUACGAGAAAAAAAAAUUCUAACCAGGCAGAAGAAUCGAUCCCGAUACGUUACCAAAAAAAAAGAUUUGUUGAGUGACAUCAAGUAUUAUCUCUCAGUCGCGUUCCCAGACAUGUUGAACUAUGGUGAUAACUUGGUGUGUGUUGCAGCAAUUAAUUCUUGCUUUCGGAUUUUUAGGAGAGAAAAAAAAACCUACAAUAUUUUGAGAUGGCAAAUAAUUACGUACGUGAAUUAAGUGAUGUGUGGCACCUCGGGGAAGAUGAUGAUUAAUGUCAUUUCUAUGUUUCAUACCAACAUAUUUCUGUGUAUUGCAUUAGGUUUUGUUUGUAAUAAAAAUAAUAUUUUGUAA